UUCCUACGGGACGCAGCAGUGAGGAAUAUUGGUCAAUGGGCGGGAGCCUGAACCAGCCAAGUCGCGUGAGGGAAGACGGUCCUACGGAUUGUAAACCUCUUUUGCCGGGGAGCAACGGGGUCCUUGCGAGGGCCCGAUGAGAGUACCCGGAGAAAAAGCAUCGGCUAACUCCAUGCCAGCAGCCGCGGUAAUACGGAGGAUGCGAGCGUUAUCCGGAUUUAUUGGGUUUAAAGGGUGCGUAGGCGGGCUGUUAAGUCAGCGGUCAAAUGUCGGGGCUCAACCCCGUUCGUCCGUUGAAACUGUCG
rnacentral:rRNA from 1 species